rnacentral:tRNA from 1 species
GGGAGUGUCGCAUAGUGGCUAUUGCAGCAGACUGUAAAUCUGUCACCUCACGGUAUCGCUGGUUCGAGUCCAGCCACUCCCACGA